GUCCCUGUAUAAUCUGAGUUCAUGAGUGGAGUUAGGGUCAUGGAGCGCCAGGCUGUGUGAGCGCUGGAAGUGGAGUAAAUAAGAUGUUUUUUGGAAGAGGAACCAGACUAACCAUUGAAACCAAAGAAGUAUCCCUGCCGUCCUACUACAAGCUGGAAGGUGACCACGGCUCGGUGUGUCUGGCCACCGGUUUCAACAAUAUCACAUACGCCCGGAAGGAAAACAGCUUGUUCCACAGGACGAGCGCCGUGAGGAUACGCUAUGACAAGCUGUACAACCAUCUGGCCUACCUGUCCUCUGGUAAUGAAACGUGUGAGACAGGCAAUACACCGGAUGUGUGUGUGGACACUUUGAAGCCAGACCCUCAGGUGAACAUGGCGUCUCUGACGGUGCUCGGGCUGCGACUGCUCUUCCUCAAGACUGUCGUCUUCAACGUCCUGCUGACGCUUCGCCUCUGGAUGACUUCCUAAGCUCUGCAGGAGACCCUGGAGGAUGGCAGAUGUCUGUUUCCUAAACGUGUGGAAUCCUCUGUUAAUAUCUUCAUCCUGCGGACAGACAUGGAAACACCUGUCACACCUUUCUUCUUCUUUGAGCUCUUUAAGAGAUCGUGUUGAUAUGAAUGCAUGGAUUUUGACUGUAAAUAUCUAACAUUUAACAGAUUACUAUGUCCCCUAAUUGAAUUAGUUUUAAACCGUGCCAGAUUCGUGCUUUAUAAUAGCUAGUUUUAGUUGCAUACUGACUGGAUAUGGAUCAGUACAUGUUUAAUCUGUGUGUGAUAUUUCCUGUGAUGUUAAAAUAAAAACUGAAAAAAAACUAA